AAUGAGCAACAAGACACAGCCAUGAAGGCUCUGGAGAGUUUGUGUGAACACUCAAAAGAUGAAGCUCAGGUUCUCACUGCUCUCAGGUGUUUGGUUCGACUAGUGCUCUCAACAAUAGAAAAGGCCAGUGGGGAGAUAGGGUGAGUUUGAUGAGAUAUCGUGAAACAUGAUCAUCAUACAAUAGUGUUUAAAUGCUCCAUUUCAUUUUAGUAAUUUAGCCAACGCUCUUAUCCAGAACGACUUACAGGAGCAAUUAGGGUUAAAUGCCUUACUCAAGGGCACAUCGAUAUACUUUUUUUCACCAAUCCGGCUUGGGGAUUCGAACCAGCGACCUUUUAGUUACUGGCCCAACGCUCUUAACCGUUAGAAUACCUUCUGCCCAUUUCUACAGCGUUUCAGUUGUGGUUGAUUUACUGUUUCUGCUUGUUAACAUUUCCUCUUUAUAUAGACAUGCGAAUCUGGAUAUUCUGCUGUCAUAUCUAAAAAUGGCACUGCAGAAAGUGUCACAGCUCAGCCCAGGGCCUAGCAUGGCUGUAGAGCAGCGCACAGAGGACGCCAACUGGUUCAGGAAGAUUGCUUGGAACUCUGCGCUGCAGUGUGAGAGCAGCCCUGACAGGAUGAGGGAUUUCUUUCUGUUCUCUUACCAGGCAAGUCCUCUUAUUAGCAUCACCGGGAGAAUUGAUCUGUAUCUGUGCAGGUGUAGAUCAAUACAACCCACAGGGAAUGAGUGUUGCCAAAGAUAAAGAAAUGUGGAGCCCUGCAGCUUCCUCAUAAAACAACUUGGUCAGUCGUUAUACCCUUACACCCCUAAAACACGCAGACACAGACCGCCAUGCAGGCACCCUCCGUUUAAUGCGUUCUCUCUGUGUUGUGGCCCUUUAUCUUUAUGGUACUCUUAAUAUACACUGCUCCAAAAAAUAAAGGGAACACUAAAAUAACACAUCUUAGAUCUGAAUGAAUGAAAUAUUCUUAUUAAAUACUUUUUUCUUUACAUAGUUGAAUGUGCUGACAACAAAAUCACACAAAAAUUAUCAAUGGAAAUCAAAUUUAUCAACCCAUGAAGGUCUGGAUUUGGAGUCACACUCAAAAUUAAAGUGGAAAACCACACUACAGGCGGAUCCAACUUUGAUGUAAUAUCCUUAAAACAAGUCAAAAUGAGGCUCAGUAGUGUGUGUGGCCUCCACGUGCCUGUAUGACCUCCCUACAACGCCUGGGCAUGCUCCUGAUGAGGUGGCGGAUGGUCUCCUGAGGGAUCUCCUCCCAGACCUGGACUAAAGCAUCCGCCAACUCCCGGACAGUCUGUGGUGCAACGUGGCGUUGGUGGAUGGAGCGAGACAUGAUGUCCCAGAUGUGCUCAAUUGGAUUCAGGUCUGGGGAACGGGCGGGCCAGUCCAUAGCAUCAAUGCCUUCCUCUUACAGGAACUGCUGACACACUCCAACCACAUGAGGUCUAGCAUUGUCUUGCA
rnacentral:lncRNA from 13 species